UACGUAGGGGGCUAGCGUUGUCCGGAUUUAUUGGGCGUAAAGAGCGUGUAGGCGGCCAGGUAGGUCUGGUGUGAAAACUCGAGGCUUAACCUCGAGAUGUCAUCGGAAACCAUCUGGCUAGAGUCCGGAAGAGGAGAGUGGAAUUCCUGGUGUAGCGGUGAAAUGCGCAGAUAUCAGGAAGAACACCAAUGGCGAAAGCAGCUCUCUGGGACGGUACUGAUGCUGAGACGCGAAAGCGUGGGGAGCGAACAGG
rnacentral:rRNA from 1 species